GUGUGGAAGAGGGUGACUAGGGACAGAGGGGGUGAUUAGUGACAAAGUGAGGGAGGGGGUGACUAGUGACAGAGUGAGGGAGCGGGUGACACAGUGACAGAGUUAGGGAGGGAGUGACUAGUGACAGUCACCCCCUCCCUCCCUCUGUCACUAGUCAAUCCCUCCCUCUGUUACUAGUCACUCCCUCACUCUGUCACCAGUCAUCCCCUCACUGUGUCACCAGUCACCCCUUCCCUCCCUCACUCUGCCACUAGUCAUCUUUUCCCUCCCUCAC